AGCAGCCGCGGUAAUUCCAGCUCCAAUAGCGUAUAUUAAAGUUGUUGCAGUUAAAAAGCUCGUAGUUGAAUUUCGGGAUUGACACAUCGGUCGUGCCUUAAGGGGUAUGAACUGGUGUAGUCAAUUUCUCACCUUCUGGAGAACCGCGAUGCCCUUAAUUGGGUGUCACGGGGAACCAGGACCUUUACUUUGAAAAAUUAGAGUGUUUAAAGCAGGCAUUUUGCUUGAAUACAUUAGCAUGGAAUAAUAAAAUAGGACGGCAUGAUUCUAUUUUGUUGGUUUCUAGGAUCACCGUAAUGAUUAAUAGGGAUAGUUGGGGGCAUUAGUAUUCAAUUGUCAGAGGUGAAAUUCUUGGAUUUAUUGAAGACUAACUACUGCGAAAGCAUUUGCCAAGGAUGUUUUCAUUAAUCAAGAACGAAAGUUAGGGGAUCGAAGACGAUCAGAUACCGUCGUAGUCUUAACCAUAAACUAUGCCGACUAGGAAUCAGACGAUGUUAAUUUUUAAUGUACUCGUUUGGUC
rnacentral:rRNA from 1 species